CACACACUGAUCGGGUAGGGAGUGGACAGCUUAGCAUGGACUGGACCCAGAUCCGAGGGUGGCCAGUCUGAGGUGAGGUGGUAGCAGUGUCUGGUGCCAGCAGGACCUGUGGAUUCAGGACUCGCAGCCAUCUUGAGCACACAGUGGAAGACAACAGAGACAGGCAAGAGAAACAGGGAUGGGGCAGCUUGAAGUGAGCAGGCAAGCAGUCCCUAAUCUAGCCAUGAAGAAUUGGAAGUGUGGAAUGUAACAACCCGUUCAGAGUGCCUCGGGAGAACAGUCAGUGGACAGAGGAAUAACGGAGUGAAUCCAAGAGCUUCUGCACAACUUGGUUGCCCUGUGAGUCACUGUGUGGAAGACAGCAUGAACUGAACCACAGAGAAAGCCAAGGACUAUAGGGCCUCUACUUCCUAAAAGAACGCUUGCCUCAAACCAAGAGAGAAGUUGGAAGAGUCUUGGGACUUGCACCCCUGUAUGCCUACUUCUUGCACUCUAUUACAGAGAGAGCAUCGUUAAUGCAUUCCCAGGAUUUGGGGUCAUUUCUGAGUUUUAAAAGU